UACGUAGGGUGCAAGCGUUGUCCGGAAUUAUUGGGCGUAAAGAGCGUGUAGGCGGCCCGACCAGUCCGCUGUGAAAGUCCAGGGCUCAACCCUGGAAUGCCGGUGGAUACUGUCGGGCUAGAGUCCGGAAGGGGCGAGUGGAAUUCCUGGUGUAGCGGUGAAAUGCGCAGAUAUCAGGAAGAACACCAAUGGCGAAGGCAGCUCUCUGGGACGGUACUGACGCUGAGAAGCGAAAGCAUGGGGAGCGAACAGG
rnacentral:rRNA from 1 species